UGGCUUAGCUGGUCAAAGCACCUGUCUUGUAAACAGGAGAUCCAGGGUUCAAAUCCCAG
rfam:Danio rerio chromosome 4, GRCz11 reference primary assembly.